rnacentral:lncRNA from 1 species
AUGGUAACAACUUAGGUAUCGACGAUUAUGGAAGAGCGAAGUCGUAACUCAUCUUUAGCGACAGGGAAUGUCCGAAGCGUAUCACUAUAUCAUAUGCAUCGGUUCCCAAUACUUCGGUUGUUGGGUACCUUUAGCAACGGAGAUUCCCCGAAGCUAAAAGUCAAUUUUCGCAUAGUGUGGUAGUGGCGGAUGAUAUGUUUCGAUAGUGUCCUAAUCCUCAACUUUAGCCGUCAAAGUCUCGACGAUUCCCUACAAAAAAACAAAUAUGGUCAAAUAACAAAAAAAAACAAAAAAUUGGCAUAAUCUCCCCUAAUUGUUAUACCCCAAAUCCAACCCAAACUCCAAUCCUCACCCUAUACUCAACCCCAAACCCCACACAAACUCAAAACUAACUCCAAAAACACAUUAAUGAAAAAAAUUUAAAAUUUGGAGAGAAUAUACCUUUUGGCAAGAUUGAGAGUGAGUGAGAAUAAGAGGGAGAAGUGAGUGUGAGAGAAUUAGAGAAGAUAGUGAGAGAAAGAUGAGAGAGUGAGUGAGAGUGAGAGACAGUGAAAAGAGAGAUGAGAGAGUGAGUGAGAGUGAGAGAUAGUGAAGAGAAAGAUGAGAGUUUUGCGCGACGAGUUGUUGGUUGCUCAAAGUUUUGCGCGACCAAAAAAUUCCCGCGUCCCUUUUCAGGUACCCGCCCAAAUUUUUAGAGUUUUGCGUGACGAACUGUUGGUCACGCAAACUUUUGACAGACGAAAAAUUG